GACAGAGGUGCCGAGCGUUAGGCGGAAUCACUGGGCUUAAAGCGUGUGUAGGCUGGCGGGCAAGUACCUUGUGAAAUCCCACGGCUCAACCGUGGAACGGCUGGGUAUACUACCUGUCUUGAGCCAGCUAGGGGCGAGCGGAACAGACGGUGGAGCGGUGAAAUGCGUAGAUAUCGUCUGGAACGCCGAAGGUGAAAACAGCUCGCUGGGGCUGUGCUGACGCUGAGACACGAAAGCCAGGGGAGCGAACGGG
rnacentral:rRNA from 1 species